UUUAUAAGUUUUAAUCCAGGAUAGACGUCCGCGCUUCGUCGCUGGUCCAACCUCUCUCUCUCUCUCCCCUAAAACCGCUUUUCUCCUCCGGUUUUAGGGUUUCUGCGGUCUCUCUCAGAUCUCCCUCUCUCCCUCUCUGCGGUCUCUCUUAGAUCUCUUACCCCUUUUCUUACGUCGAAUUCGGCCUAGAAUCGCUUUUCUAGGGUUUCCGAAUACCUAUUUUCCGAUCUAGGGUUUGAUCUGCAGGUACUGUUCUCCGCUGAGGUUUUUAGGGUUUUCUUGAUGGUUCUUUGGUUCCGAUCGUCUAUCUUUCAGUUAUUCUUGUUUCCUCGCCACCGAUCUGAUUCUUUGGGGAUCUUUUUUCUUAAAUUGCUCCGUACUUUUGAUUCGAUCUGACCUCAGGGCCGGAAAGUGGAUAAGAUCUCUUUGAUUUUCCUUUCUUAGGGCUUUUACGGUUCUUUUAGGUGUGGAGAUGGUGAGUUCUGAUGAUUCGGGUGGUUCGCCAGCGCCUGCUGCGAAGCAGUACGGCGUGACGAAGCCGAUCUCUGUUGCGGGACCGUCGGAGGCGGAUCUUCAGAGGAGCUUGGAGUUAGAGAAGUUCUUGGUGGAUUCGGGUCUUUAUGAAAGCAAAGAAGAAGCUGUCAAGAGAGAAGAGGUUCUGGGUCAGAUCGAUCAGAUUGUGAAAGAUUGGGUGAAGCAGCUGACCCGUCAAAGAGGUUAUACUGAUCAAAUGAUUGAGGAUGCAAAUGCUGUCAUAUUUACAUUUGGAUCCUAUAGAUUAGGGGUUCAUGGCCCUGGUGCUGAUAUUGAUACACUCUGCGUGGGACCGUCCUAUGUAAACCGAGAGGAAGAUUUUUUCAUAAUAUUGCAUGACACCCUGGCUGAAAGGGAAGAAGUGACCGAAUUACAACCAGUUCCAGAUGCUCAUGUACCAGUAAUGAAAUUCAAGUUCUGCGGAAUAUCAAUUGAUCUUCUUUAUGCCAGUAUCUCUCGCUUGGUUGUUCCUGAAGACUUUGAUAUCUCUCAGGGAUCUGUAUUGUACAAUGUUGACGAACCGACUGUUCGAAGUCUUAAUGGUUGCAGGGUUGCAGAUCAAAUUCUUCGACUUGUUCCAAAUGUUGAGCAUUUCCGAAUGACUCUCAGGUGCUUAAAGUUUUGGGCCAAAAGGCGUGGUGUUUAUUCAAAUGUUACUGGAUUUCUUGGCGGUGUGAAUUGGGCACUCUUAGUUGCUCGUGUCUGCCAGCUUUAUCCCAAUGCAGUUCCUAGCAUGCUAGUUCCCAGAUUUUUUAGAGUUUAUACACAGUGGCGUUGGCCGAAUCCUGUGAUGCUAUGUGCAAUAGAGGAGGAUGAACUUGGCUUUCCAGUAUGGGAUCCACGUAAGAAUCCUCGGGACCGAACUCAUCAUAUGCCGAUAAUUACACCUGCGUAUCCAUGCAUGAACUCCAGUUACAAUGUUUCAACAAGUACUCUUCGUGUUAUGAUGGAGCAAUUUCAGAAUGGUAACAAAAUCUGUGAGGAGAUUGAGCUGAAUAAAUCUCAUUGGAGUUCUCUAUUUGAGCCGUAUUUAUUCUUCGAGGCAUAUAAGAAUUAUUUGCAGGUUGACAUUGUUGCCGCUGAUGCUGAUGAUUUGCUCUCUUGGAAGGGCUGGGUGGAAUCCCGGUUGAGGCAGCUGACUCUGAAGAUAGAGCGGGACACAUAUGGGAUGUUGCAGUGCCACCCUUACCCUAAUGAGUAUGUAGAUACUUCCAAGCAGUGUCCGCAUUGUGCUUUUUUCAUGGGUUUGCAGAGGAAACAAGGGGUGAGAAUCCAAGAAGGCCAACAGUUUGACAUACGCGGAACGGUAGAUGAGUUCAGGCUCUCAGUGAACAUGUACAUGUUUUGGAAGCCAAGGAUGGAAAUAUAUGUGUCUCACGUUCGUAGGAAGCAGAUCCCUUCUUAUGUCUUUCCUCCUGGGUACAAGCGUCCCCGGCCUUCAAGGCACGGUAGCCACCAGCCUGGAAAAGAUUCUGGCGAAGAUGGAGGUGAAGAGUGUGGGUCUCGGUCCCCAGAGAAGCAACAGCUCAAGAGGAAAAAGGAUGCUGAAGACAACGAUGUAAAGCCAGAAAAACCAGAUAAACGUGCUUCCCUUAGCCCAAGUAGACAGGAAUCUCCUGAUACACCAGAGAAACAGGCUUCCCUUACCCCAAACAGGCAGAAUUCUGCAUCUCUAUCUCAAGUUAGCAGUCACAUAAGCUCAUGUGCAGAGGAUGUGGAGGCAGUGAAAAUGAAGAAUGCUGAGUCCAGGUCAGCCGAGGGAUUUCUCAUGAGGAGAAAAGAUUCAGAGGAUCAUCUGAUGCUGUCAACUAAACCAGAAAAGCAGGCUUCUAUUAGCCCAAAUAAGCAAGCUCUUUCUCCAUCAGAUGUCUGUAGUCGCAGGUCUGGUGGGUCAUGUCAGGCCAGCUUGGCUGAGGAUGUUAAAGUGGAGGAUUUUCCAGUGGGCAACAUGGUAGAUGCUAAGGCUGGUGAGACGGUGAAGCGGGAGAAGCGGACAUUGGAGGUUGCUGAGGCUCGGUUCCAAGAUGGCAGCAGCAGCAGCAGUUUGGAUGUCACAAGUCAGGUCAGUUCGUGUGGAGAGGUUGAAUUGGAGCUGUCUGUCGCAGGCAGCAGCGAGGAUAAUACUGAGAGUAUUGCAGAGAGUGACAACCAGGAGUCUUUGCAGGGUGAUGUGCUUGGGGCAGACUCAGAGGCGGUUUUGGGGAAUAGUUGUUUAGAUGGAAGUGGAAGAUUUCAGAAUGGCUUGACGGAAGAGUUGGAGCCAAAUGAUGCACUUGGGAUGGUUCUACAAGCUCGGAGUGGAGUCAAAUCUGAACCUGUUCAGAAACCAGUGAUAAGGCAUGCGUUUCUAAACCCUAAAUUUUAUGCUGGGGAUGUUCAUGCUAUAUUAUCUUUAUGCUGUCCUGUUUGGUUGUUUUUUUCGGGUCUUAUCAUUGUGGCAGGUUGAGUCUGACCUCGACAGCAUAAGGGAUUUGUAGUGGCAGAUAUCUCAAGCAGAUGGAGAAAGAAUUUUUAGUGGCGGAUGUUUCAAGCUAAUGGAGAAUGCAAAGCAGACAUUUGAGCCGAAGAGAUUGAGAGAGGCCAGCACUUUUGAAGGUUGGAUCCAAUCCCAUCUCAGAUGGGUUGAGCCAAUUUGUCCUGUCGGCUGAAGUCUACGAAUCUGAGACUGAAUUAUGGGUCAGGAUCAAGAGCUUUCCUGUGAGUAGCCCGGUUUCUCCAUGGCGGGCCAUCAGCAAUGGCGUUCUUUAUUGUGUAUUGGGCCGAUCUCCAAUGUCAAUCAUAGCCUUCAAUGUGAAGAUCAAGGGCUGGUUUAUGGUGGAGGCUCCAUUGCCACAUUCUCUUACUGCAAUUAGACUAAUGGACCGCAAUGACAGGUUGGUCAUGAUCGGCGGAGUGGGAAUGGCAGGAAUCACAGAAGAGAUUGGGAUAUGGGAGCUCGACGAAUCAGGCAGGGAAUGGAAAGUGAUUGGAUGGAUACAGAAAGAAAUCUGCAAUUUCUUCCUUCAAUCUCUAAGGAGACGAUUCGCUUGCACUGGGCAUGGUGAUCUCAUAUAUUUCACCAGUAAGAGGUGUCCUUAUGUUGCAAUGUAUGUUAUAUCGAGCAAUUGUAUGAAGUUCUUAGACCCUUCGCCUUGGCUUUUAGACCCUCACUAUCACAAUUCUUGUGGUUUUUCUUUCGAACCUCGACUCUGAUCUUGUUUUUGAGUUCUUCAACAUUUGAUCUGUUGUAAUUGCGAUUCAUUUAUCUUGCUAUCUGUAUCACUCAAUGAAGAAUAAUGUGAUCAAAUAUCAUUCUUUUAUUCAACA